AAGGAUUUAAGUUAAGCAAACUAAUAACCUUCAAAGUUAUAAAUAGGAAAAUUUUCUAAGCCUUA
rnacentral:tRNA from 1 species